UACGGAAGGCAGCAGUGGGGAAUAUUGCACAAUGGGCGCAAGCCUGAUGCAGCCAUGCCGCGUGUAUGAAGAAGGCCUUCGGGUUGUAAAGUACUUUCAGUCGUGAGGAAGGUGUUAAGGUUAAUAACCUUAGCAAUUGACGUUAGCGACAGAAGAAGCACCGGCUAACUCCGUGCCAGCAGCCGCGGUAAUACGGAGGGUGCGAGCGUUAAUCGGAAUUACUGGGCGUAAAGGGCACGCAGGCGGUUAAUUAAGUUGGAUGUGAAAUCCCCGGGCUAACCUGGGAAUGGCAUUCAAGACUGGUUAGCUAGAGUCUUGUAGAGGGGGUAGAAUUCCAUGUGUAGCGGUGAAAUGCGUAGAGAUGUGGAGGAAUACCGGUGGCGAAAGGCGGCCCCUGGACAAAGACUGACGCUCAUGUGCGAAAGCGUGGGGAGCAAAC
rnacentral:rRNA from 1 species